UGAGAUGGAGUCUCACUCUGUCGCCCAGGCUGGAAUGCAAUGGCACAAUCUCGGCUCACUGCAACCUCUGACUCCCAGGUUCAAGCCAUUCUCCCUGCCUCAGCUUCCUGAGUAGCUGGGAUUACAGUCUGGGUGACAGAGAAAGAUCCUGUCUUAAAUAAAUAAAUAAAUAGUUGUAUCGCAUAUAUGGAGGAAAGAAAUGAUAAAGAAGAAAAAUUACAAGGUUACUAAUGAUUUCUUUUCAGCUAAGCUUUUGGUAAUGCUCAUCUUUUAAUGUUCUUUGGGCAAACACAAAUCAAACAAUUUUUACAACUGUUAUUAAUAUGCCUAAAGCAGUAUAGCAAAACAUUUUUCAUAAAAAAAGAGCAUUAUAAAAUCCUUAAAUAUUUAGGAUAGUUAUACACUUCAACUUCUCUAUUUAAGGGGUGGAGAAGAUGGAGAUUGAUGGAACAUGCCUAUUUUCUGA
rnacentral:lncRNA from 10 species